rnacentral:rRNA from 1 species
GACGAACCGUGCGAACGUUAUUCGGAAUCACUGGGCUUAAAGAGCGCGUAGGCGGAUUGCCGCGUCGGAGUCUGAAAUCCCCGGCUCAACCGGGGAACUGGAUCCGAAACGGGCAGUCUUGAGGGACGUAGGGGGGCUGGAACUUCCGGUGGAGCGGUGAAAUGCGUUGAGAUCGGGAGGAACACCGAUUGCGAAGGCAGCUCGCUGGAACGUUACUGACGCUGAGACGGCGAAAGCGUGGGGAGCAAACAGGG